AUGGCUCAGGAUGAACGCUGGCGGCGUGCCUAACACAUGCAAGUCGAACGAAGCACUUUGAAGUUUUCGGACAGAUGAGUGACUGAGUGGCGGACGGGUGAGUAACGCGUGGGUAACCUGCCUCAUACAGGGGGAUAACAGUUAGAAAUGACUGCUAAUACCGCAUAAGCGCACGGAGCUGCAUGGCUCAGUGUGAAAAACUCCGGUGGUAUGAGAUGGACCCGCGUCUGAUUAGCUAGUUGGUAAGGUAACGGCUUACCAAGGCGACGAUCAGUAGCCGACCUGAGAGGGUGACCGGCCACAUUGGGACUGAGACACGGCCCAAACUCCUACGGGAGGCAGCAGUGGGGAAUAUUGCACAAUGGGGGAAACCCUGAUGCAGCGACGCCGCGUGAGUGAAGAAGUAUUUCGGUAUGUAAAGCUCUAUCAGCAGGGAAGAAAAUGACGGUACCUGACUAAGAAGCCCCGGCUAACUACGUG
rnacentral:rRNA from 1 species